UACGAAGGGGGCUAGCGUUGCUCGGAAUCACUGGGCGUAAAGCGCACGUAGGCGGAUUGUUAAGUCAGGGGUGAAAUCCUGGAGCUCAACUCCAGAACUGCCUUUGAUACUGGAGAGCUUGAGUCCGGAAGAGGUGAGUGGAACUCCGAGUGUAGAGGUGAAAUUCGUAGAUAUUGGGAAGAACACCGGUGGCGUAGGCGGCGACCUGGUCCUUUACUGACGCUGAGGCGCGAAAGCGUGGGGAGCAAACAGG
rnacentral:rRNA from 1 species